rnacentral:rRNA from 1 species
CCUACGGGAGGCAGCAGUAAGGAAUAUUGGUCAAUGGACGCAAGUCUGAACCAGCCAUGCCGCGUGAAGGAUGAAGGUCCUCUGGAUUGUAAACUUCUUUUAUCUGGGACGAAAAAAGGGCUUUCUAGCUCGUCUGACGGUACCAGAGGAAUAAGCACCGGCUAACUCCGUGCCAGCAGCCGCGGUAAUACGGAGGGUGCAAGCGUUAUCCGGAUUCACUGGGUUUAAAGGGAGCGUAGGUGGGCAGGUAAGUCAGUGGUGAAAUCUUCGAGCUUAACUCGGAAACUGCCAUUGAUACUAUCUGUCUUGAAUAUUCUGGAGGUAAGCGGAAUAUGUCAUGUAGCGGUGAAAUGCUUAGAUAUGACAUAGAACACCAAUUGCGAAGGCAGCUUACUACGGGAUUAUUGACACUGAGGCUCGAAAGCGUGGGGAUCAAACAGGAUUAGAUACCCUGGUAGUCCACGCCCUAAACGAUGGAUACUCGACAUCAGCGAUACACUGUUGGUGUCUGAGCGAAAGCAUUAAGUAUCCCACCUGGGAAGUACGACCGCAAGGUUGAAACUUAAAUGAAAUUGACGG